UUUUGCUUACCCCUAUAAUUUGAAAACACAAACACACCCAGCUAAGUCAAGCAUACAUGUAUAUGGGGUGAUCAGACGAGUUAGCUUUUAGUCCAACAAGUGUUAUCCAACAGCUAUCUAGCAUCUAUGGCCACCUAAGCCGAACCUGCCGCUGGGCCAUCACUGCUCACUUGCGGAGCGGCCGCAUUAAAACAGUGAGCCUGCUGGCUAGCCUGGGUCUGACGACGUUCCUCCGCAUAACUGUACAGGAGGACAUCAGUGAGAUCAUUCAUCAGGCCUCCGCUGAAGAUAAGCCAGGUGACUCCAAUCAAGGUGUAGAAACAUCAGAGAUAAUUAAGAGAAAUGGGAGGCCCCCAGAGAUACAACCAGCUCUGCAAACAGCCCAGUCUGAGACAAGUUUUUUUUUAAUUAAGAAUAUCUCUGUACUUUUCUUCAUUUAGCUUUCUCUGACACCGGACCAGGCUCUUCAUCCCAGCGAUUGAAAAACAACCCUGCAGCAUAAUAUUGCAACAU